UGUCUCUAGAUCCAAGGACUCACGUAAAAUAUCUGUGUAUAUCACUUAACAAGUUGCUUCGGCCAAAUUGUUUGUAGCUGGAAUUCGUUGUUAUUUGAAGAAGAUUGAUUGUUAAGGAACACUGAAGCACAAGUUUAGAGCUUACAAAGUGAAGAUUAUGUUUGGUUGCAUAAUUUAAAGGUUUCUUUGACAAAAUUUUGAUGGUUCUCUAUGGAGCUCUAAAUGGUCAUAGACGUGUUCUGUACAGGGCCCAUGUUUAUGGUUAGACAUAACUUUGAUCUUUGA